rnacentral:rRNA from 1 species
GUAACAUUGUGCUUGCACAGAUGACGACCGGCGCACGGGUGCGUAACGCGUAUAGAACCUACCUUUUACAGAGGAACAGCCUUUAGAAAUGAAGAUUAAUGCCUCAUGGUAUUGUAGACUGGCAUCAGUUUAUAAUUAAAGAUUUAUCGGUAAAAGAUGGCUAUGCGUCCUAUUAGUUAGUUGGUAAGGUAACGGCUUACCAAGACAGCGAUAGGUAGGGGUCCUGAAAGGGAGAUCCCCCACACUGGUACUGAGACACGGACCAGACUCCUACGGGAGGCAGCAGUGAGGAAUAUUGGACAAUGGAGGAGACUCUGAUCCAGCCAUGCCGCGUGUAGGAAGAAUGCCCUGUGGGUUGUAAACUACUUUUAUACAGGAAGAAACACUGGUAUGUAUACCAGCUUGACGGUACUGUAAGAAUAAGGACCGGCUAACUCCGUGCCAGCAGCCGCGGUAAUACGGAGGGUCCGAGCGUUAUCCGGAAUCAUUGGGUUUAAAGGGUCCGCAGGCGGUCGAUUAAGUCAGAGGUGAAAUCCCAUAGCUCAACUAUGGAACUGCCUUUGAUACUGGUUGACUUGAGUCAUAUGGAAGUAGAUAGAAUGUGUAGUGUAGCGGUGAAAUGCAUAGAUAUUACACAGAAUACCGAUUGCGAAGGCAGUCUACUACGUAUGUACUGACGCUGAGGGACGAAAGCGUGGGGG